rnacentral:rRNA from 1 species
AUUGAACGCUGGCGGCAUGCCUUACACAUGCAAGUCGAACGGCAGCACGGGAGCAAUCCUGGUGGCGAGUGGCGAACGGGUGAGUAAUGUAUCGGAACGUACCCCGUCGUGGGGGAUAACACAGCGAAAGCUGUGCUAAUACCGCAUACGACCUGAGGGUGAAAGCGGGGGAUCGCAAGACCUCGCGCGAUGGGAGCGGCCGAUAUCGGAUUAGCUUGUUGGUGAGGUAAAGGCUCACCAAGGCGACGAUCCGUAGCGGGUCUGAGAGGAUGAUCCGCCACACUGGGACUGAGACACGGCCCAGACUCCUACGGGAGGCAGCAGUGGGGAAUUUUGGACAAUGGGCGAAAGCCUGAUCCAGCCAUUCCGCGUGAGUGAAGAAGGCC